AUUGAACGCUGGCGGCAGGCUUAACACAUGCAAGUCGAACGAGUGGCGGACGGGUGAGUCAUGCUUGGGAAUCUGGCCUAUGGAGGGGGAUAACUACGGGAAACGGUAGCUAAUACCGCGUACCAUAGGAUGAGCCCAAAUGGGAUUAGGUAGUUGGUGGGGUAAAGGCUCACCAAGACGACGAUCCCUAGCUGGUAUGAGAGGAUGACCAGCCACACUGGGCCUGAGACACGGCCCAGACUCCUACGGGAGGCAUCAGUGGGGAAGAUUGCGCAAUGGGGGCAACCUGACGCAGCCAGGCCGCGUGAAUGAAGAAGGCCUUCGGGUUGUAAAGUUCUUUCGGUAGCGAGGCGGUAACUUCAGAAGAAGCACCGGCUAACUCCGUGCCAGCAGCCGCGGUAAUAC
rnacentral:rRNA from 1 species